CACCAGCCGCCGCCCCACCACCCCGCCGCCCCGCCGCCCCGCCGCCACACGACCCCGCCGCCGCCCCACCACCCCACCACACCGCCGCCGCCCACCACCCCACCACCCCGCCGCCCGCGGAGGCCCCCCCUUUCCCUAGCGUGUGUGCGGUCCCCCGCGGCGACCUCUCCACUCGCUGUCGCCGUCCGUCGGGGAGGGAGCGUGCGUGCGGUCCCCCGCGGCGACCUCUCCACUCGCCGUCGCCGUCCUCGGCCACUCGCCGUCCCGACCUCUCCACUCGCCUCCUCUGGCCAGCCAACCAUAGUGGCAUCGUUCCUCUGACACGCGGAGGGGCUCUCCUCUCCCACCGGUCGGCGCUUCGACUUCGACUCCUACAACCGCCCCUGUUUGCUCCCCACGCUCGUCCGCUCCGGAUCCAGAUCCACGGCCCCAUUCGCCAUUGCUUGCUUCUAGGGAGGGAUGUUGAACGGACAGAUUGAGGCCGUGCCGCCGUUCAGGACAGGCUGCUGGUGCUGGCCGUGGACGGGCUGCCGGUGGCAGCGCCGCUCAACGGCCGUCGCUGCUGUCCACUCGGCUCGGACAACUACACCGUUAUCCAGAUGACCUUAGCCCGCCCCGCCUCCACCUCCGCACUGGCCAUGACGCCGUGACGCCCCAGCCGCCUAGAUUUGCUUAAGAUCACGGAAGCUUGGGUUGAUGGAGUGCUUGUAUUUAGUUUUUGUUUUGACCUUGUGAAACUUGCUACCUAUGGAUGAAACUGUGUAAUAUUAAUGAAACUAUGUAUAUAUACGGAUGAAACUUGCUACUAUUGGUAACAUGUGUUGGAUAUAUAUAUGUGUUCAUGACUAUUGGUAAUAUGUGUUGAAUAUGCU